GGGGCCAUGAACUCUAGAGAUAGAGCUUUCCCUUCGGGGACAAAGUGACAGGUGGUGCAUGGUUGUCGUCAGCUCGUGUCGUGAGAUGUUGGGUUAAGUCCCGCAACGAGCGCAACCCUUAUUGUUAGUUGCCAUCAUUUAGUUGGGCACUCUAGCGAGACUGCCGGUGACAAACCGGAGGAAGGUGGGGAUGACGUCAAAUCAUCAUGCCCCUUAUGACCUGGGCUACACACGUGCUACAAUGGGAAGUACAACGAGUCGCUAGACCGCGAGGUCAUGCAAAUCUCUUAAAGCUUCUCUCAGUUCGGAUUGCAGGCUGCAACUCGCCUGCAUGAAGCCGGAAUCGCUAGUAAUCGCGGAUCAGCACGCCGCGGUGAAUACGUUCCCGGGUCUUGUACACACCG
rnacentral:rRNA from 1 species